AUGGUCAAGGCGGCGAGUCGGGCGGAGCCGGCGCACGGGCCCCGCGAAGCAUCAUCCGGACGAUGGGGAGAGCCGGGACGAGGUGAAGGCGCGGCUCCAGCCACCGGAACGCGAGGCGGGGCAGUCGACACGAGCCCGGAGAGGCUGGGAGCGGCCAGGUCACAGGCCGUUGCAUCCGGCGGCCGGGUUCGGGGCAGCCGGCAUGGGGGCGAAGGUGCUGGGCAAGCGGCCACAGCAGGCGGCUCGCGGACGGUUCGGCGGCCAGGGGCCAGAGCAGCACAGGCAGAGCCGCAGCCGGCAGCAGCGCGGGCUGAGUAG
rnacentral:rRNA from 1 species